GAGGUCUUCUUCAGUGGUGGAAUGUACAGAGUUUAUCCAGGCGAGUCUAGAUUGGUAUUCCGUACGUAAAACCUCCAGCUGCCCAUCAUUUAGGUCAACAUCCCGAUUCCAAAUAUCUUUUACUGAAUGUUGUAAGGACUCUUUAACAUCGGUUCCAUCUAGCUUAAGCCAAAACCGCCCAUUUGGAUUACUUUCAGUAACAGAUUUUACUGCCGGAGUCU
rnacentral:lncRNA from 1 species